UAUCUUGACCGUGGUCCUCCCCUACUUUUUCCUAAGACCUGUUCCACUUUGUUUUUGAAGGUUUUGGAAGACUGCCCUGGUGAUCUUAGUUUCUAGUAUUGUCACAUUUCUAAAGGUGCAUGGCCUUUCUCAACUAGAGAUCAUGGAUGGCCCAUAUCAGAUUGCAUUGCAGAAGGUUUAAAGGCUUCACUCUUGUUGUCGCAGAUUCCAUCAAAAACUGUUGGUGAACCAAUCGAUGCAAACAGAUUGUACGAUGCAGUGAAUGUCAUUCUUUCACUACAGGAAUUCGAAUGCCAAGAAGACAUGAUGUUCUACGGUGUGUUUGAUGGCCAUGGCCCUUGGGGACACUAUGUAGCAAAAAGGGUCAGAGAAUCGCUGCCAUCAUCUCUGCUUUGCAAUUGGCAGGAGACUCUUGCUAUGAGCUCAAUUACAUCAGAAUUCCUUUUGGAAUAUGAUAAAAUGCUUAAUCGAUUUGACAUUUGGAAGGAAUCCUAUUUGAGAACUUAUUGAAAUGAGUGAUUCACUUGGGCAAAUGAAUCAUAACCUUGAAGGUUUGAAGAGUGAUCUGAAGAAAGUUACUAAGGGAAGGGAUUGCCUUGAUUCUGAGGUACUUGUCUUGAAAGAGUAGCUAGAAAUAGCACAAGCUGUUGUUGAAGAAAAUGAACCAAUUGCUACAGAAGCUCGACAGAUGGCUGAGGCAAGGAAGAACUAUGCUGAAGAGGAGGAGGUGAAGCUGUUAGAGAAGUCUGUGGAAGAGCUAUAAUAUACUGUAAAUGUAUUGGAAAACAAGGUCAGCUCAUCAAUGGAGAGGCUGAAAGGCAACGGUUGCAGAGAGAGGAGCUAGAAGGGGACCCUACUGAAACAGUUCAUGUGGAAGGCUAUGUGGCAAUUCAUGUGCAUUUGUAUUUUGUUUUGAAAACUUUAAAUAGACCAAUAAUUGUUUUGUUGAUAUUGUGCUGAUUGUUGUCUUGAUGAAUGUUAAAUGGGUGAAAUAUGCACAGGUUCAAUCAUUUGUUGAUUAUGAUAUUGUUAGCUUUGGUUGAUAGAGAAAUGAGGUCAAAAACCGAA